rnacentral:rRNA from 1 species
UACGUAGGGUGCGAGCGUUGUCCGGAAUUAUUGGGCGUAAAGGGCUCGUAGGCGGUUUGUCGCGUCGGGAGUGAAAACCAGGUGCUUAACACCUGGCUUGCUUUCGAUACGGGCAGACUAGAGGUAUGCAGGGGAGAACGGAAUUCCUGGUGUAGCGGUGGAAUGCGCAGAUAUCAGGAGGAACACCAAUGGCGAAGGCAGAUCUCUGGGCCGUAACUGACGCUGAGGAGCGAAAGCGUGGGGAGCAAACAGG